rnacentral:rRNA from 1 species
AGAGUUUGAUUCUGGCUCAGGACGAACGCUGGCGGCGUGCUUAACACAUGCAAGUCGAACGGUGAAGGUGGUGCUUGCACCACCGGAUCAGUGGCGAACGGGUGAGUAACACGUGAGUAACCUGCCCUUGACUCUGGGAUAACCCCGGGAAACCGGAGCUAAUACCGGAUACGACCCGCACAGGCAUCUGCGUGGGUGGAAAGAUUUAUCGGUCAAGGAUGGACUCGCGGCCUAUCAGCUUGUUGGUGGGGUAACGGCCCACCAAGGCGACGACGGGUAGCCGGCCUGAGAGGGCGACCGGCCACACUGGGACUGAGACACGGCCCAGACUCCUACGGGAGGCAGCAGUGGGGAAUAUUGCUCAAUGGGCGCAAGCCUGAAGCAGCGACGCCGCGUGAGGGAUGAAGGCCUUCGGGUUGUAAACCUCUUUCAGCAGGGAAGAAGCGAAAGUGACGGUACCUGCAGAAGAAGCACCGGCUAACUACGUGCCAGCAGCCGCGGUAAUACGUAGGGUGCAAGCGUUGUCCGGAUUUAUUGGGCGUAAAGAGCUCGUAGGCGGUCUGUCGCGUCUGCUGUGAAAACUCGGGGCUUAACCCCGGGCCUGCAGUGGGUACGGGCAGACUAGAGUGCGGUAGGGGAGACUGGAAUUCCUGGUGUAGCGGUGAAAUGCGCAGAUAUCAGGAGGAACACCGGUGACGAAGGCGGGUCUCUGGGCCGUAACUGACGCUGAGGAGCGAAAGCAUGGGUAGCGAACAGGAUUAGAUACCCUGGUAGUCCAUGCCGUAAACGUUGGGCGCUAGGUGUGGGGCUCAUUCCACGAGUUCCGUGCCGCAGCAACGCAUUAAGCGCCCCGCCUGGGGAGUACGGCCGCAAGGCUAAACUCAAUGAAUUGACGGGG